UUUGUACCGUAUCGUUGCCUUCAUGUAACUCUGAAGUUGUGUCAAAAUAAACAUUAAUGAAAAUUCUCAGCAAAAGUCAUACAUAUUCUUGCCAGGGCGAGACACUAGCUCAUGACUGUGUCGCUUCCUUUGUUUUGGGCUCAGUGUUAUGAACUGGGUACAGGAACGCCUGCCGUUUACCUCGGGCCUCUCAAAAGCCCAGACAAGCACAGGCAACAAAAGCAAAAACAGACAGAUGGUCCAACAUUGAGGUUAAACAUUUCUGCACGUGAAACAACAGUGUAAAAGAGGAAGGCCUCUUUGCCAGUGGAGACACAGGAAGGCCUCGGUCUCCUGCUGGUCCCUGGGCAAUGGACCGUCUUGGUGUAAAACCCGAUUGUAUGUUCUAUUUACUGCGAUAGGAGAAAACCGCCUUAGGGCUGUAUCCCGGCCCGCGGGAUAGUCGAAGCAGGCCCUGGAGGAGGGGGUGGGAAUUUGGGGAACAAGAGAUACGAGAAAUGGAGACAAGACAGUACUCUGAUCAAGUCUCUCUUAAUGGCGGUAAUGCAGUGCCUUAUAUACACUUGGAGGGGAAGGGGUUGGGCCAGAGGCGGAGAUGAUCUCAUCGCAGAGGGCGUGACCAAGUAGGUAUUGGUUUCUCUGGUCGAACGUCAUGUUGCACCUGCGCUGUCAGGUAGUAAUUUUCGCGGGCGCGGGAAAAAUGGGUGAAGAAGCAGCAGGAAGAGCGCCAUCUUCUAUGAGGUAUUAAUACAGGGAAAAAGGUAAAUCUGGGGAGGAGGUAGAAGGUGGAAAUGAAUAGAGCUCAGGCGUUUUUAAUCGUCAGUUAUUAUUCGCUAUGGCCAGGGCGUGCAGCUCCGGACAGGGCUGGAGGUGAGCUGUGCGUGCUAGUGGCAAUGCUGCUCUUUAAUGCACGAAAAUGUUUGUGGGAUGUUUGUAUUUGCACAUCAAAGCACAGCACCUUUCCUUAAACUUAAUUGAUGACACAGAGAUCUCUGUUCGCAUGUUUUCCUGCUGACCCUCUCCCCACUGUUACCCUAUUGUCCUGCCACAUCCCCCUCUCCCCUCUCCGAGAUGGUAAAGAGAUAAUGAUCAAUAAAUACUGAGGGAACUCAGAGACCAGUGCGUCCUCCGUAUGCUGAGCGCCCGUCCCCUGGGCCCACUUUUCUUUCUCUAUACGUUGUCUCUGUGUCUCUUUCUUUUCUCAAUCCCAUCCCACCUGACGAGAAACGCCCACAGGUGUGGAGGGGCAGGCCACCCCUUCACAUAUAAUGAAAUAGGAAUCAGCCCUAAAAAGGAAGGAAUGGUGAGACAGGCUACCACACGGACUCACCUGCGGGUAACGAGAUAAGCCAGACAAAAAAGCGCUGUGUGACCCCACUCCUACGAGGUCUCUGGAGGACUCAAAUCCAUAGACACAGACAGUAGAAUGUUCUCGUGGGUGCUGUACUGAAACAUUACAACGAGACGGCGUCCCUGCGAGGCUCCCGAGGGAGGGAGCAGGAAGAUCCAGGCGGCAUCUUGAAGGUACAGCGUGUUCACAAAUCUCCCAGGCCACAAGCAAGGAGCCAGCCGGCUCUGAAUUCUCCAGCACAGUCAGGGCGCAAGUCAAAGGGCUUCCGAUCAGACCUAAAGAGAUCCCGCAGGAAGUCCUGACGUUCACAGCUAGCAGGGCUCUGUGCGGGCCAACACGCCGCCCAUGGGUGCUCUGGAAAAUCACGUGAAGAUGGUGCAACGGGGAGAGUUAGAGAGCCCUAAAAGCAAGUCUCAGGCCAGAUUCUGCCACGUGCCUCGUUUGCAAACAAGCCCUAAAGAUAUCCCCAAAAGAUAUAGGACGUUAUUUGGAAACAGGAUACUUGCAGAUGUAAUCAAGCUGAGAUGAGGUCAUCCAGGAGUAGGGUAGGCUAUAAAUCCAAUGCGUGGUGUCCUUACCGGAGAAGGGGAAAGACAGAAAACGCACAGAGAGCAGGCCACGUGGAGACAGAGGCAGGGACUGGAGGGAGGCAGCCACACGCCCAGGGACGCCUGGAGCCCCCAAGGAGCUGGGAGAGGCGGGAAGGAGCCUUCCCUAGAGCCUCGAGAGGGAGCACGGCCCUCUGACUUCUGCCCCCAGCACCGUGAGGAUAAAU
ensembl:lncRNA